rnacentral:rRNA from 1 species
AGCCUGAUGAUAUUUUAUAUUAGGUAAGUUCUGCUCAAUGAUAUAAUUAAAUAGCCGCAGUACUUUGACUGUGCGAAGGUAGCAUAAUAAUUUGGCUUAUAAUUGAAGUCGGGAAUGAAUGGAUAAAUGGAUAUAUACUGUCUUAUAUAUAAUUAUAUUAAUUUUCUAAGUAAGUGAAAAUUCUUACGAAUUUUUUUAUUAGACGAGAAGACCCUUGAAAUUUUUAUAAAAUAAUAUUCUAUAUUAAUUAUUUUUGUUGGGGCGACAGGUUUACAAAAUAAACUGAAUUUUAAAUAAUAUUUAAUAAAACAAAUUUUAUUAAUAAAAAAUAAAUUACUCAAGGGAUAACAGCAUAAUUUAUUAAUAAGUUUGUGACCUCGAUGUUGGACUAGGAAAUUUUAAAUUUAGAAGAUUUAGAAUUAGGUUCUGUUCGAACUACUGUCUCCUACAUG